rnacentral:rRNA from 1 species
GGGACGAACGCUGGCGGCGUGCUUAACACAUGCAAGUCGAGCGGAAAGGCCCUUCGGGGUACUCGAGCGGCGAACGGGUGAGUAACACGUGAGUAAUCUGCCCCUAGCUCUGGGAUAGCUCCGGGAAACCGGGAUUAAUACCAGAUACGACCACUUUAGACAUCUGUUGUGGUGGAAAGAAUUUUGGCUAGGGAUGAGCUCGCGGCCUAUCAGCUUGUUGGUGAGGUAACGGCUCACCAAGGCGACGACGGGUA